rnacentral:misc_RNA from 1 species
GUCACGCCCGAAGUCGUUACCCCCACCGAAAGGGGGGGGAUGCCUAAGGUAGGACUGAUGACUGGGGUGAAGUCGUAACAAGGUAGCCGUACCGGAAGGUGUGGCUGGAUCACCUCCUUUUAGGGAGACCUAAUCCAUUUAGAAAUCGAAAACAAUGAAAAUUGUCAAUAGAAACUAAAGUGGUCUAACCUAGGUCGUUCGAGAUUGGUAGAUAUCUUUCAAAGUAUUAUUCGGCUUCCUUCAAAACCAUAUAUAAAUGGAAAAAGACAGCACCUAAUUGUCAAAGUUAGACUGCUGGAUGAAAUUCCCGCCAGAACCUUGAAAACUGCAUAAGAGAACGAGAAAAAGCAGGCAGACACAGAUAUUUAGAUGGAUGUGAAAGCCAAAGAAAUUGUGGUCAAGCUAAUAAGGGCUAAUGGUGGAUACCCAGGCACCCAGAGG